rnacentral:tRNA from 1 species
GGGCCUGAGCGGCUGGCAGCUGGCGAAUCUGCGGAUCUUUUGCGCAAUCCUGCGGACUUUUGAUCCGCAGGUCCCAGGUUCGAGCCCUGGUGGGGCACCA